rnacentral:rRNA from 1 species
AUGGCCCCCUCCCUCCUCGCCGCCGCCGCCUCCGCCUCGCCCUUCCUCCUCCACGGCGCCGCCGGAAGCGCCAGCCGCAGGCCGGUCGCCCCCGGUCGCCGCGCCGCAUCCUCCGUGCGCGUGCACGCCGCCAUCAAGUGCGACCCUUCCAAGGUGGAGCCGCAGUCCGACCGGGUGCUCGUCCGUCUCGAGACUAUCCCAGAGAAAUCUGCUGGGGGAGUCCUGCUACCAAAAUCUGCUGUUAAAUUCGAGAGAUAUUUGAUGGGCGAGAUUUUAUCGGUCGGUGUUGAUGUUAGUGAAGUUGAAGCUGGAAAGAAGGUUCUCUUCUCUGACAUAAACGCUUACGAGGUGGACCUGGGAACAGAAGAGAAGCACUGCUUCUGCCGGGAGUCGGAUCUCUUGGCUGUCGUCGCAUGA